rnacentral:lncRNA from 1 species
GCCCCAAUUUCUUUAAAGCUUUUUCAUUUUUCUUUAUUUUGAGUUCUUCUUCUUCUUCUUAAGGAAUCACUGCAUUUGUCGCCAUUGAUUGUUUGAUGGAAGCACAUCCAACACUCUACCCAUAAAAAUGAACUAUUAAAAAUAGAAAGGGUAGAGAAGAUGAUGACUUUCAUCGAAAAGUCAAUAAUUUUCAACUUAAAGUUCAUGAUUUUUUCGUUUGAACUCGCCGGAGGAUUCACCGGAGAAGAUCACCGAAAAAGAUUCAUGAGAAAAAUAAUGAUUUCUAAUGAAAAUUCUAUGACAUUUAUGCAUAAAAUUCAUGAUUAUAUUGUCUAAAAUUUUCAAAAGUUCACCGAGGAAAAUGAUUUCUCAAUCUUUGUCUUCUCUAUUCUCGCCGGAGAACUACCAAUAACCACCACAAUAUUAUUUCUAUGUCUCAUAUCAUCAAUAGCAUAUUUGAUUAAUCAAUUACACACACAAAAAAUACUGAUGAAUUACAUACAUACUUAUCAAGAUUUUAAAAGAAUUUUACAUAUCUUAAAUUUUUUAUUUGUUUCAUCGGUCGUAAUGGUGUUACCCAUCGCUUAUCACCGCUGCCAACAUCUCUAUACUUCAUAAUCGACUUAUUGACUCCUAUUUUCUCUUCAAGUUUAUAUCUUUUCCUUCAAUUUAUGAACAAUGGAGAAGAAAGAAGAAAUAGAUUUUAAAAAGAGAUAUGUAUCGUGAGAGAAGGAAGAUGCCCAAGUUUUUAAUUUUU